rfam:Photobacterium marinum strain AK15 contig2, whole genome shotgun sequence.
ACAUCACCAUCAUCAUCCUGAUUAGUCUUUCAGGAGGAUACGCCUCACUCUGGAAGACGCAAAAUCACUCUUCCAGCGGUCAAUUGCAGUAACAGAUCUCAGACCCUCGGAAGAGCUUUCUUCCGAGGGUUUUUUCGU